rnacentral:rRNA from 1 species
UACGUAGGGUGCAAGCGUUGUCCGGAAUUAUUGGGCGUAAAGAGCUCGUAGGCGGUUUGUCACGUCUGCUGUGAAAACUGGAGGCUCAACCUCCAGCUUGCAGUGGGUACGGGCAGACUAGAGUGCGGUAGGGGAGAUUGGAAUUCCUGGUGUAGCGGUGGAAUGCGCAGAUAUCAGGAGGAACACCGAUGGCGAAGGCAGAUCUCUGGGCCGUAACUGACGCUGAGGAGCGAAAGCGUGGGAGCGAACAGG